rnacentral:rRNA from 1 species
CCCUUAGAUGUUCUGGGCUGCACGCGCGCUACACUGAAGCGUUCAACGAGUAUUCACCUUGCCCGGGAGGGUUGGGUAAUCUUUUGAAAACGCUUCGUGAUGGGGAUAGAUUAUUGCAAUUAUUAAUCUUCAACGAGGAAUUCCUAGUAAGCGCGAGUCAUCAGCUCGUGCUGAUUACGUCCCUGCCCUUUGUACACACCGCCCGUCGCUACUACCGAUUGGAUGGCUUAGUGAGACCCUCGGACCGAUAGGCUGUCGCCGCGGCAACGUGGCGACCGGCCCGUCGGGAAGAAGGUCAAACUUGACUGUCUAGAGGAAGUAAAAGUCGUAACA